UACAGAGGGUGCGAGCGUUGUUCGGAAUUAUUGGGCGUAAAGGGCGCGUAGGCGGUGCCACAAGUCACUUGUGAAAUCCCCAGGCUUAACCUGGGGCCUGCAGGCGAAACUGUGGUGCUGGAGUGUGGGAGAGGUGCGUGGAAUUCCCGGUGUAGCGGUGAAAUGCGUAGAUAUCGAGAGGAACACCUGCGGCGAAGGCGGGUUGCUGGGCUGACACUGACGCUGAUGCGCGAAAGCCAGGGGAGCGAACGGG
rnacentral:rRNA from 1 species